rnacentral:rRNA from 1 species
AAAAGCUCGUAGUUUGAUUUCGGCGAGCAGGGGGCGGUUCGUUAUUUGACGUAACUGCCCCAUUUGCUCGUGUUUCUUCGGCAGAACUCCCGGGGUGCUCUUCGCCGAGUGUCCCGUUGGGGGCUGCCAGGUUUACUUUGAAAAAAUUAGAGUGCUCCAAGCAGGCUCGACACGCCUGAAUAUUUGUGCAUGGAAUAAUGGAAUAGGACGUCGUUCCUAUUUUGUUGGUUUUAGGGAAUCGACGUAAUGAUUAAUAGGGACAGCCGGGGGCAUUAGUAUUCAGACGACAGAGGUGAAAUUCUUGGACCGUCUGGCGACUCACUGCUGCGAAAGCGUUUGCCAAGUAUGUUUUCAUUAAUCAAGAACGAAAGUUAGAGGUUCGAAGGCGAUCAGAUACCGCCCUAGUUCUAACCAUAAACGAUGCCAGCUAGCGAUCCGCAGAUGUUUUUAUUGUAGGCUCUGCGGGAAGCUUCCGGGAAACCAAAGCUUUUGGGUUCCGGGGGAAGUAUGGUUGCAAAGCUGAAACUUAAAGAAAUUGACGGAAGGGCACCACCAGGCGUGGAACUUGCGGCUUAAUUUGACUCAACACUGGAAAUCUCACCAGGCCCGGACACCGGAAGGAUUGACAGAUUGAGAGCUCUUUCUCGAUUCGG